rnacentral:rRNA from 1 species
GAAUAUUGGGCAAUGGGUGAGAGCCUGACCCAGCCAUGCCGCGUGCAGGAAGAAGGCGUUCUGCGUUGUAAACUGCUUUUGAUCGGGAAGAAAGCGUGCUUGCGAAGACAGUUGACGGUACCGAUAGAAUAAGCACCGGCCAACCCAGUGCCAGCAGCCGCGGUAAUACGGAGGGUGCAAGCGUUGUCCGGAUUUAUUGGGUUUAAAGGGUGCGUAGGCGGAUUGAUAAGUCAGUGGUGAAAGGCAGCGGCUCAACCGUUGAGUUGCCGUUGAUACUGUCAGUCUUGAGUGUACUAGAGGUAAGUGGAAUUUAUGGUGUAGCGGUGAAGUGCAUAGAUACCAUAAAGAACACCAAUAGCGAAGGCAGCUUACUAGAGUAUAACUGACGCUGAGGCACGAAAGCGUGGGGAGCGAACAGG